UACGUAGGGUGCGAGUGUUAAUCGGAAUUACUGGGCGUAAAGCGUGCGCAGGCGGUUUUGUAAGUCAGAUGUGAAAUCCCCGGGCUUAACCUGGGAACUGCGUUUGAAACUACAAGGCUAGAGUGUGGCAGAGGGGGGUGGAAUUCCACGUGUAGCAGUGAAAUGCGUAGAGAUGUGGAGGAAUACCGAUGGCGAAGGCAGCCCCCUGGGAUAACACUGACGCUCAUGUACGAAAGCAUGGGUAGCAAACAGG
rnacentral:rRNA from 1 species